GUGCUCAUUUUGGCAGCACAUAUACUAAAAUUGGAACAAUACAGAAAAGAUUAGCACGGCUACUAUGCAAACAUGACCUGCAAAUUUGUGAAGACAGUGUCUUCUGU